UACCCAAAAUGGGAGCACUUUCC
rnacentral:miRNA from 8 species